rnacentral:rRNA from 1 species
CGGCGGACGGGUGAGUAACACGUGGAUAACCUACCUAUAAGACUGGGAUAACUUCGGGAAACCGGAGCUAAUACCGGAUAAUAUAUUGAACCGCAUGGUUCAAUAGUGAAAGACGGUUUUGCUGUCACUUAUAGAUGGAUCCGCGCCGCAUUAGCUAGUUGGUAAGGUAACGGCUUACCAAGGCAACGAUGCGUAGCCGACCUGAGAGGGUGAUCGGCCACACUGGAACUGAGACGCGGUCCAGACUCCUACGGGAGGCAGCAGUC